UCAGGUCAGAGUCAAAACAGGAAAACCGGUUUAUCGCUUGACCAUAAUAUAACAGACCUACAAACAUGUCUAUUAUUUAAGUAGCAGUGUGAUUGCAUUGGGGAUAAUAUUAAGACGCGAGUAAAUAUUUCCUUCAGUGUUUAUUUGAUAUUGAUCAAAAUGCGUCGUGCCUGUGCCAUUAUUUUGUUCCUUGUCUUCACUCAGUACUUGAUUGAGACCUCCCAGGCAAUGCCUGAACCUCAAUAUGGAUCUGCCGGGCUUUCUUGCGGGACCCAUGGUACUACUUGCAGUUCAGACAGUGAUUGCUGUGAAAACUCGACAUGCCACAGAUUCGCC